AGGUGACAGGGAGCUGCCCCCGCUCAAGAGCCAGAGGUUGGGGGUCUGAGAAGUCACCACUAUGAAGUUAUUCGCCUUCGGGAGCCGCAGGGGCCAGACGGCCCAGGGCUCUAUAGAACAUGUCUACACGGGUUCCGGAUACCGAAUCCGGGACUCCGAACUGCAGAAGAUCCACAGGGCAGCUGUCAAGGGCGACGCCGCGGGGGUGGAGCGCUGCCUGGCGCGCAGGAGCGGAGACCUGGACGCCCUGGACAAGCAGCACAGGCUGUCCAUUGCCAGGAAGAGGCUUGCGCCGUUAUUCUGCUGGAACAUGGCACCAAUCCAAACCUUAAGGAUAUCUACCGCAACACUGCUCUCCAGUAUGCUGUGUAUAGUGAGAGCACCUCACUGGCAGAAAAACUGCUUUUCCAUGGUGCAAAUAUUGAAGCACUGGACAAGGUCAGCCCUCUUGCUUGCUAUACACUAUGACUCACCAGGUAUUGUAAAUAUCCUUCUUAAGCAAAAUAUUGAUGUCUUCGCUAAAGACAUAUGUGGACGAGAUGCAGAAGAUUACGCUAUUUCUCAUCAUUUGACAAAAAUUCAACAACAAAUUUUGGAACAUAAAAAUAAGAUACUUAAAAAGGACAAACCAGAUGUUGGAAUUUCUGAUGAAUCUGCAGUCAGCAUUUUGCAUGAACUGUGUGUGGAUUUAUUGCCUGCAUUGGAUGAUGAAGACUUGAGUGUUGCUACUAAGUGUGUCCCCGAGAAAGUGUCAGAGCCUUUACGUGGACCUUCUCAUGAAAAAGGAAACAGAAUAGUCAAUGGAAAAGGAGAAGGGCCUCCUGCAAAACAUCCUUCCUUGAAACCUAGCACUGAAGUGGAAGAUCAUGCUGUGAAAGGAGCAGUACAAAAAAGGAUGUACAGACAUUGAGAGCAGAACAAGCCUUACCAGUGGCUUCAGAGGAAGAGAAAGGAAGGUGUGAAAGAAGUGAAAAGAAGCAACCACAGGUCAAAGAAGGAAAUAAUACAAACAAAAGUGAAAAAAUACAAGUAUCAGAAAAUGUACAUCAUAGUACAUCUUCUGCUGUUGCUGACAGAUUAACCAAACAAAGAAAGAUUGGGAAAACGUAUCCUCAGCAAUUUCCCAAGAAACUGAAGGAAGAGCACGAUAGCUGCAUCUUAAGACAAGAAAAUGAAGAAAAGACAAAUGUUAAUAUGCUGUACAAAAAAUAGAGAAGAAUUAGAAAGGAAAGAGAAACAAUAUAAGAAAGAAGUUGAAGCAAAACAACUUGAACCAGCUGUUCAAUCACUAGAGAUGAAACCGAAGACUGCAAGAAAUACUCCAAAUCAGAUAAAUCAAUCUUUGGAUUUUCAUAAUCACGAAGAAAUAAAAGAUCUGAUGGAUGAAAAUUGCAUUUUGAAGGCAGAUAUUGCUAUACUCAGACAGGAAAUAUGCACAAUGAAAAAUGACAACCUGGAAAAAGAAAAUAAAUAUCUUAAGGACGUUAAAAUUGUUAAAAAAAACAAAUGCUGCCCUUGAAAACUAUAUAAAACUCAAUGAGGAAUUGAUAACAAAAACAGCAUUCCGGUAUCAACAAGAGCUUAAUGAUCUCAAAGCUGAGAAUACAAGGCUCAAUUCCAAACUGUUGAAGGAAGAAGAAAGCAACAAAAGACUGGAAGCUGAAAUUGAAUCUUAUCAGUCUAGACUGGCUGCUGCUAUAAGUAAACAUAGUGAAAGUGUGAAAACAGAAAGAAACCUAAAACUUGCUUUAGAGUGAACACGAGAUGUUUCCGUACAAGUAAAAAUGAGUUCUGAUAUUCCCAAAGUAGAAGAUAAGAAUGAGUUUCUUACUGAACAACUUUCUAAAACACAAAUUAAAUUCAAUACCUUAAAAGAUAAGUUCCGUAAGACAAGAGAUACUCUCAGAAAAAAGUCAUUGGCUUUAGAAACUGUCCAAAACGACCUAAGCCAAACACAGCAGCAAAUAAAGGAAAUGAAAGAGAUGUAUCAAAAUGCAGAAGCUAAAGUGAGUAAUUCCACUGGAAAGUGGGGCUCUGUAGAAGACAGGAUAUGUCAACUCCAAUAUAAAAAUCCAUGCAUUGAACAGCAACUAGAUGAUGUUCAUCAGAAAAAGGAUCAUAAAGAGAUAGUAACUAAUAUCCAAAGAGGCUUUAUUGAGAGUGGAAAGACAGACCUCAUGCUAGAAGAGAAAAAUAAGAAGCUAAUGAAUGAAUGUGAUCAUUUAAAAGAAAGUCUCUUUCAAUAUGAGAGAGAGAAAGCAGAAAGAGUAGUAAGUAUCAAGGAAGAUAAAUAUUUUCAAACUUCUAGAAAGAAAAUUUAAACAUUUGGUUCUGGAUACAUGUUGAACUUAGUGGAAUAUAAAAAUCAAUGGAUAAAAGUGUGUUUACCAUACUGUAUAAUUCCAUUUACAUGAAGCAUCCAGAAAAGAUAAAUGUAUAGGGACAAAAAGUAGAUUAAUGUUUGUAGAGGGCUGGGGCUGGAAGCUGGUAGUGACUGCUAAUGGGCGUGAGGGAUCUUGCAGUGAUGGAAAUUCUCUAAAGUUGGAUUGUAGAGAUGGCUGCACAACUCAGUAAAUGUACUAAAAAUCUUUUAACUUUAAGUUAAAACAGAUACAUUCUAUAGUAUGUAAAUUAUAUUUCAACAAAGCUGUUUUAAUAAAAAAAGGAAAAAUGUGUUUACUAUGCCAUCUUAGAAACAUGCCUCAUUUCUAGGAAAUAAAAGGUAGAGGUGAGAGAUGAUUUACUUUGAGAAAAGACAUUGUGUCACCUAUGAAAUUUUAUUAGGCACAAAGUCAUAUUUUAAGGUAGAUAGUUCUGUACUGCUGAAAUAAUAAUUUUAAUGACUUUAUGUUGCCACAUGUUAAGACCAUAAUAUAGGUAUAAAUGGAAAUGUUUACACCUGAAAUGAGUAUUUUCAAAUUAAAAUUUAAUUGA